ensembl:lncRNA
ACCAACCAUAGGGGCCAGGCUUAGCCCUGCCAGCAGCCCAGCUCCCAUCAUGUGGUCAGGACGCUUCCCCUGCCUGACUGCUGGCUCCCAAUCCCAAAUACCCACAAGGGCUCUGCGGAACGAGGCCUGAAUUCCAGUGCCCCCCACCGCUGGCCUCUCCCACAACCCUGACCACUGCCUCCCCCGUCCCCUAGAAUCUGUGCCCCCAUCUGGGGUGGGGCACAAAUGCCCUCCAUUAACAACAAUAAUAAGUUGAAUGGAAAUUUUCCUCUCACAAAGUACAUCCACAUCCAUUUGCCUCCAGGACCCAGCUAGGCAGAGAGCAGAAAGUCCAUUCAAGAGAUGAGGAAACUGAGACCACAACAUACCCAAACUCACACCUGUUUUUUUCUUGAAUCUCAGCCUUUGCAUUUAUCUUGGGAAAACACAUUCCUCUUCAGCUUUGAGGCCUUGGCUUCAAGGUCACUUCAGCCAGGAGGUCCCCGGUCUCCCCAGCUGCAGGGCCUCACAUGCAGGAAGGACAUAAGGAAGAUUUGCUGAAGGAAGGACGGAAGAAAUGAAUGAGCCACCAAAGUGGCAGAUUUUCUGAUCGCCAGUCUAGUGCUGGCAGGAAGGACACUGCAAAGGACAGGGCAAAGCCGCCCAGUGCGGACAUUUCAGCUGUCGGUGCACAGGGACCCAAUGCAUGCCUGGUGUACUGACCCAAGAGCAAGCAGCUCAGCCCACCUGGGAGCAAAUUUUUGCUCAAACACUAGCCCAAGGAAGCAGAAUUGGAAAGAACAUCUGAUUUUCCAGAAUCCAGCAGAGCCUUCUAGAGCGAUUUGGGAUUAUCUGCUCCAGGGAUCACCCUGCCAGCUUUCUCCCUCCUAGACAGAUGAUUGGGAUUUGACUACAUACUAAUCUUUCUAAGCCUCAGUUUCCUCAACUGUGAAAGAGAGGGUUGGUCCUAGGUGACCCCUAAGGCCCUUCCGAGUUCUGAAGGAAGCUAUUUUAGCUGAUUCCCUGUGUGUCCUCCAUGAGGCUGGAGAAGUCCAACCACAGCUCCUUGGUGGCCAAUUCCGUGGGGACACUUGUGGGCUCCCAGCCUUGCAGGGCCCGCCUGCUCCGGCGGCUAAGCUUGUCCCUCCCCAUCCCUGAGCCAGAGCUCAGCCAGGUGCCAGGUAGAGAAAGUGAGCCUCGGAUUGGGGCAGGAGGGCAGGGGUGGGGUGUGUCCCACAGGUGAUGGGGUCGCCAGGAAGGACACAAUGUAAGGCCCACCUUUGAUUCCAUGUGUCUCGAGCUCUCUCUCUGCCUACUUCCACCCAUCACCUUAACAAACACCAUGUCAAUUUUUAAAAUUGCUUGAAAGCUGCCAUUGUGGAGAAUGUGCUCUGGGGAGCUCCCCAGAGCAGGAAAGAAUGUGCACCCCCCGCACAUCCCCACCAAGACAUAGGCACUGAGACUGCGGAGAAGACUGGCCAGGCCCUGGCAGACUCCAGCAUCCACCAGUCAUCAGCAAACAUUUACCGGGCACUUGGUGGGCACGGGUGGAGGGACAGCGAGGCAGGGGCAAAGGAAUAAAAGGUGUUGGUUAAAUUCAUUCACCAGUUAAUGAGUACCUACUGGGUGCCAGGUAUGGAGCCAGUGCCACCAUGGGGAAGCUGACAAACUGGCCUGGGAGACAGGACACCUCCUUCCCGGAAUAACCUGGAACUUUGAGACUUGGCAGAAAAGAUCGUAAAGAAAUGAG